rnacentral:rRNA from 1 species
UACGUAGGGUGCGAGCGUUGUCCGGAAUUAUUGGGCGUAAAGAGCUCGUAGGCGGUUUGUCGCGUCUGCUGUGAAAACUCGGGGCUUAACUCCGGGCCUGCAGUGGGUACGGGCAGACUAGAGUGCGGUAGGGGAGACUGGAAUUCCUGGUGUAGCGGUGAAAUGCGCAGAUAUCGGGAGGAACACCUAUGGCGAAGGCAGCUCGCUGGGACGUUACUGACGCUGAGACGCGAAAGCGUGGGGAGCAAACAGG